UAGGGAAUCUUCCGCAAUGGACGAAAGUCUGACGGAGCAACGCCGCGUGAGUGAAGAAGGAUUUCGGUUCGUAAAACUCUGUUGUUAGGGAAGAAAAAAUGUAUAGUAACUAUAUACAAAAGAGACGGUACCUAACCAGAAAGCCACGGCUAACUACGUGCCAGCAGCCGCGGUAAUACGUAGGUGGCAAGCGUUGUCCGGAAUUAUUGGGCGUAAAGCGCGCGCAGGUGGUUUAGAAAGUCUGAUGUGAAAGCCCACGGCUCAACCGUGGAAGGUCAUUGGAAACUAAUAAACUUGAGUGCAGGAGAGAAAAGUGGAAUUCCUAGUGUAGCGGUGAAAUGCGUAGAGAUUAGGAGGAACACCGGUGGCGAAAGCGGCUUUUUGGCCUGCAACUGACACUGAGGCGCGAAAGCGUGGGGAGCAAACAGG
rnacentral:rRNA from 1 species